rnacentral:rRNA from 1 species
AAGCCCGACACGCUACGCCGUCUGGGGAAUGGCUCGGCUUGAGCGCCGAAGAAGGGCGUGACAAGCCGCGAAAGAGCCCCGGGUAAGCGCAUGCAGCCUUAGAACCGGGGAUUCCUGAAUGGGACUUCCCACCAUGGUUCCUUCGGGAACCGUGGUGCUCCCAAAAGGGAGCGGGAACCCCCCGAACUGAAGCAU